rnacentral:lncRNA from 1 species
AUGAGAGGAGGGAAAAUAAUAACAGGAAGCAAAAGAGGAGGAAUAAGAGUUGUGAUAAAUUUAUUUUUAAGUUUGUGGAUACAUGCUAAAUUUCUGUGCAGCCUUUAUAAUUUCAUAAAUACGUAUCUGUUCACUGUCUAUGGCCAAAACUGGCUGUUUGAAAUUAAUGAAGAAAAAAAAGAUAAUCAUCAUCUGAAUUGGACGUAUUUCUGUCAAACGGAAUACGUCCAAUUUACAGUACCUGCCAUAAAUGGUUCAAUUAAACUUCCGUCAUUUGAAUGCGUCCAAUUUCAGACAAAAAUUUGCAGUAGUGCUUCAUUUAUUCAAUAAUUUUAAAAAAAGUGUCAAAUCAAACACUGCAAUUUUUAAUGUAUUUGAAACCAUCUGGCUUUGAUCCCUUCACUUCAGAUCGAACCAUUAAUGUACAAUCCUCUGACACAGGAAACCGUCCCAUUGCCUCUCUCAGUAGGCACACGGAAAAAUUAAAUUUCUGAUUUAACAAAUUUGUAGUUAAAAAAAGUGACAGACACGUUUCAAUGUAGAUUUUACAAUAAAAACAUGCUAAUUCAACGACGCCCGUGGUUGAAUUAGCUUUCCACUAUUGUAAAAUGUACAUUUGAAACAUGUCUGUCACUUUUUUUUGACAAUUUUAUUGUUAAAUUAGCAAUCCAUUUUUUCCGUGGUUUGACUUCUGUCAACUGGUGGUUCAGUUUCCUUUUACCAUGAUGAUGUCACACAAUAAAUUAUAAUCAAGGGUCCUCACAUUUAAGAAGACCGGCUGCGAAAGUAGUCCAUCCAUCUCAUUGUUUGAUGGUUCUUUCCUUCUGCUGAGUCUGCUUGGUGUGGUUGCACCUUGGCUGGACCCUGCACGCUGUCACGAUGCAGUAGUUUAUUGAACCAAGCGACACCUUUCCUGAUCAUCGGAUUGCCCUUGGUAUUAUUUGGAAUUAGCUUUUCUAUUAAUCUAUCAAACUUCUCGUCCAUUUCUCCGACGGUCAGACGCAAAUCCCUGAUUCCCUGUAGGAGCGUUGAGAGUGACGCCGUGUUGCUGGGAGAAACAUCAUUUGGUCUCACGUUUUGAGAGGGAACAUGAUUGGUCGAGGGAUUUUCUUCGUCGACCACGAAAGUGUCCAGGGUUUCAUCAGCGCCCUCUAUUGGUAUGUCCACGAUUUUCUCUUGACCUCUUUUGAGGCUGUCUGAAGCGUGUUCUCGGCUCUUAACCUCGAGAUCAUCCCUGACAGUGUCCAAGGGUUGCUUUGACAUCUGAGAGGGAAAAUAGAUAAAGGCGCUUGUAGUUACAUUCUUUAACAAAGAGCCACUAUUUCUGGCUCGGUUUUGAGACUACAUUUGGAUAUCAUAAAAGAAAAAUUAAUUAAUUGAGGUGCUUGGAAGACAAGGCGUAUACGUGCUGUUUUUGCUACACUGGAAAAAAUAACACAUUAGAUCUAGAGUCCAGAUUCUUGAGAACAUUGACAAGAAAAAAUACUCUUGAUUCAAUCGGAUUUUUUCUUGAAUCAAAACGAAAUCCGCUUACGUUAAGAUGCUUGGUUCUUGAUUUAAACUAGAUUCUGAUUGAAUCAAGAGUACUUUUUCUUGUCGAUGUUUUUAAGAGUCUGGACUCUAGAUCCAAUGUGUUUUUUUUCCAGUGUAUAUCAAGAAAUACGCGAUUGAAGUUUCGAAAUUACACGGAUCCUUACGGCGGAAAGAAAGUUCAAACUGACUUUUUGAUUUUUCAAAAUUAAAAGGGAGCGAAUUUUUCACAAGAUAUGCAUUGAGACGAGUUUUAUUUGAAAUCAUGAAAGUAAUUUUUUUCAAAAACUGCACUUAUGCGCCUUGUCCUCCAAGCCCCUCAAUUACAGUCACAUUUACUUUACAGUGGAGGAGAUUUAGGAUAGGUCCAUUCUGUGAUGGUUCAAAAGGCCCGUGAUUAAAAAUCCACAACACAUGAAUGGAUCGUAUUCACCAGGGGGAAACCAUCGCAGAUACAAAGUUCUAACAAUUGUGCAUAGCUUUAUCUUGAUAUACAACAAUUUAUACAGCAAUUAGUUUUUGUUUUUCUGCGAAUGAAUCGUUAAUUUUGAAUUAAAAGGAUCGUGUGAAUUGUGUAACCUUCUGUACAUUAGCUUCAGUAUUUUUUGAGGCGAAGAAGAAGUUACGCGAUUUUGGAAAAUAUGGAAUCGAUCUGUAAAUCGAGACAAAAAUGUUGCAGAUUUAACAAAAAAGUGGCAAUCCUGUUGGCGCAUGACCCGUAAAUUUAUGAAACUGCUCUUAUGUGAGCUCCUCGUUCAAUGGAAUGAAUUUCUGAACUAGGCGGGCCGAUUUUUUAACCAAUUUCAAUCAAAAAUUUUCUGUGGUUUCUUAUUGUAUUUCAAUUUCUUUACAACCGUUUUGUAGAAAUGGGUUGUUUAACAAAGUCGUGCUCUUUUCUUAACUGAUGAUCGAUUAUUUUUCUGAACUCUAUCAAGCUCUUUGAAACACAACCCAAUGAAAUUGAAAUCCAAAAUGUGUCUGUUGUGUGUCUCAACUCCAACAUACGUUUCAAUAGUAAAUGACUCAAAAUUGGAAAAAAAAUUAUCUGUCUUCAUACCUCUUGCCCAUUAAUUUGUAUGGUCGAGUCCGCUGGACCGGAAUUCCUACCAGGCUGUGGGGCAUGGAAAGUCUUCCCUUCAUCAUUUUUUCUAGAAUUUUGGUUCUGAGAUGAUAUCGCGGACGCAUGAUGAUAAUGUCCUAAAUUCUCGUACGGAUCAAAGGGAUGUGGAAAAUUCGUCGGGUUUGGAGAUGACUCGGAGGAUGAACUUGAUUCACGCCUUGGAAGUUUUUCCUCCAUCUUCAUAGAUCCGUCUUUUUCACCGACUGCCAUGCCAAACUUUUCUCCUGUCUCUUUUGUGAGCGCACCCCCUACAAGCUGGAACAAAAAUGAUUACAGUAAGAAAAACCGGCUGAAUUAGUCUCACAUCAAAUUUUAAACACAUAUCUCACAGGCUAAUGGCCAAAUUAGUCGGUAAAAACAGCACGCCUGCAUGUUUUUCUUGUAUCUGCCUGUCUUCCGGAACUCAAUUACUUCGAUGUCCAUCAACUCUGACCAUUUACACCAUUACACACUCUGACCAUUUACACCAUUACACACUCUGACCAUUCACAACUAACACUUUUCAUCAAACUCAGUGACUUUGACAUUUUAAAAUUCAUCCAAUGAUCACAAUACCAGCAAAUUUUUCAAUAUGAUCGACAUUUUACUUAUAAGAGUCAAAUUCUACUUAAUUUUUGUCGGAGAUGGGCAGACUUGAUGAUUGAAAACUAAUAUAGUUAAAAUAAAUUUAUAUCUAUUUCGACACAUUCUACAGAGUUUCAUAAAUUUGUAUCGAUUAUCAAAGUUUGACGUAGGUGCAUUGCACAAUUCGAAAUGCAAAUUUGCCAAGUUGUGCAAAGAUAGAAACUGUGCAACCCCGUGAUGCCAUGAAUAGUUCCUUUCAGCACAAAUACUUCCAUUGAGCCACUCUAUGUAGAAACGACGCGUAAAUUUUGCAACGCUGCUCAGAUUACGCAUAUUUGUGCUGAAACAUAUCAAAAGCCUUCUGAAAUAACGCUGCUGUGCAGCAUCAUGCGCGGGACGCCGGGAUGUAUCUGCAAUUUUGCAAGCAUAUAUGGAGAGACUUUAACGCUGGUGUAGAAAUGUAAGCUAAAGGGAAAACAAGGAUCCCUGAGGCUUGGAGACAACGUUGACCUAUCUAAUAGUUACUUGCUGAUUGAAAACUGCUUAGGUAAGGGGAAAGAGAUAGAGAAAAAAAUUAUCAUUAACACGUGUGAGUUUUCAGUGAGUUUAAAGAAGAAAAAGAUCGACGAAAAAAAUCAAGUAUACAAAAUGUUU